GACAGAGGGUGCAAACGUUGUUCGGAAUUACUGGGCGUAAGCACGUGUAGGCUGCUUCGCAAGUCGGAUGUGAAAGCCCUGGGCUCAACCCAGGAAGUGCAUUCGAAACUGCAGAGCUGGAGUCCUGGAGAGGAAGGCGGAAUUCUCGGUGUAGAGGUGAAAUUCGUAGAUAUUCGGAAGAACACCAGUGGCGAAGGCGACUUACUGGACACAUAUUGACGCUGAGGUGCGAAAGCGUGGGGAGCAAACAGGG
rnacentral:rRNA from 1 species